rnacentral:rRNA from 3 species
GAUGAACGCUGGCGGCGUGCUUAACACAUGCAAGUCGAACGGUGAAGCAGAGCUUGCUCUGUGGAUCAGUGGCGAACGGGUGAGUAACACGUGAGCAAUCUGCCCCUGACUCUGGGAUAAGCGCUGGAAACGGCGUCUAAUACCGGAUACGAGCUGCGAAGGCAUCUUCAGCAGUUGGAAAGAAUUUCGGUCAGGGAUGAGCUCGCGGCCUAUCAGCUUGUUGGUGAGGUAAUGGCUCACCAAGGCGUCGACGGGUAGCCGGCCUGAGAGGGUGACCGGCCACACUGGGACUGAGACACGGCCCAGACUCCUACGGGAGGCAGCAGUGGGGAAUAUUGCACAAUGGGCGGAAGCCUGAUGCAGCAACGCCGCGUGAGGGAUGACGGCCUUCGGGUUGUAAACCUCUUUUAGCAGGGAAGAAGCGAAAGUGACGGUACCUGCAGAAAAAGCGCCGGCUAACUACGUGCCAGCAGCCGCGGUAAUACGUAGGGCGCAAGCGUUAUCCGGAAUUAUUGGGCGUAAAGAGCUCGUAGGCGGUCUGUCGCGUCUGCUGUGAAAUCCCGAGGCUCAACCUCGGGUCUGCAGUGGGUACGGGCAGACUAGAGUGCGGUAGGGGAGAUUGGAAUUCCUGGUGUAGCGGUGGAAUGCGCAGAUAUCAGGAGGAACACCGAUGGCGAAGGCAGAUCUCUGGGCCGUAACUGACGCUGAGGAGCGAAAGGGUGGGGAGCAAACAGGCUUAGAUACCCUGGUAGUCCACCCCGUAAACGUUGGGAACUAGUUGUGGGGUCCAUUCCACGGAUUCCGUGACGCAGCUAACGCAUUAAGUUCCCCGCCUGGGGAGUACGGCCGCAAGGCUAAAACUCAAAGGAAUUGACGGGGACCCGCACAAGCGGCGGAGCAUGCGGAUUAAUUCGAUGCAACGCGAAGAACCUUACCAAGGCUUGACAUAUACGAGAACGGGCUAGAAAUAGUCAACUCUUUGGACACUCGUAAACAGGUGGUGCAUGGUUGUCGUCAGCUCGUGUCGUGAGAUGUUGGGUUAAGUCCCGCAACGAGCGCAACCCUCGUUCUAUGUUGCCAGCACGUAAUGGUGGGAACUC